GCGGGAGUAACUCAGCGGUAGAGUGCCUGCCUUCCAAGCAGGUUGUCGCGGGUUCGAGUCCCGUCUCCCGC
rnacentral:tRNA from 1 species